rnacentral:rRNA from 1 species
GGCAGAGGUGCCGAGCGUUAGGCGGAAUCACUGGGCUUAAAGCGUGUGUAGGCGGAUCGUUAAGUACCUUGUGAAAUCCCACGGCUUAACCGUGGAACUGCUGGGUAUACUGGCGAUCUUGAGGUGCUCAGGGGCGAGCGGAACAGAUGGUGGAGCGGUGAAAUGCGUAGAUAUCAUCUGGAACGCCUGCGGUGAAAACAGGUUGCUGGGAGUGUGCUGACGCUGAGACACGAAAGCCAGGGGAGCGAACGGG